UCCCCGGUAGCUCAAUGGUAGAGCGGGUGGCUGUUAACCACUAGGCUGCAAGUUCGAGUCUUGCCCGGGGAG
rnacentral:tRNA from 1 species